rnacentral:rRNA from 1 species
GGACCGGGAUGGACGCACCGCUGGUGUACCAGUUGUUCUGCCAAGGGCAUAGCUGGGUAGAUAUGUGCGGAAGGGAUAAGUGCUGAAAGCAUCUAAGCAUGAAGCCCCCCUCAAGAUGAGAUUUCCCAUAGCGUAAGCUAGUAAGAUCCCUGAAAGAUGAUCAGGUUGAUAGGUUCGAGGUGGAAGCAUGGUGACAUGUGGAGCUGACGAAUACUAAUAGAUCGAGGACUUAACCAU